rnacentral:pre_miRNA from 1 species
GAAAACUUAGAAAUUACCGUUGGAUCAAAAAUGGACGUCCGAAAUUCGUCCGUGUCACCAUAAGUAAAAAUUUUACUCCCAGAUUCACUCAUGAGUAAAAAUUUUACUGAAGUGACGUGGACGAAUCUCAGACUUUUAAUUUUCGAUCCAAUGGUAAUUUUCAGGUUUCU